rnacentral:rRNA from 1 species
GAUGAACGCUGGCGGCGUGCUUAACACAUGCAAGUCGAACGGAAAGGCUCCUGCUUGCAGGGGUACUCGAGUGGCGAACGGGUGAGUAACACGUGGGUGAUCUGCCCUGCACUUCGGGAUAAGCCUGGGAAACUGGGUCUAAUACCCGAUAGGACGAUGGUUUGGAUGCCAUUGUGGAAAGUUUUUCGGUGUGGGAUGAGCUCGCGGCCUAUCAGCUUGUUGGUGGGGUAAUGGCCUACCAAGGCGUCGACGGGUAGCCGGCCUGAGAGGGUGUACGGCCACAUUGGGACUGAGAUACGGCCCAGACUCCUACGGGAGGCAGCAGUGGGGAAUAUUGCACAAUGGGCGCAAGCCUGAUGCAGCGACGCCGCGUGGGGGAUGACGGCCUUCGGGUUGUAAACUCCUUUCGCUAGGGACGAAGCGCAAGUGACGGUACCUGGAGAAGAAGCACCGGCUAACUACGUG